rfam:Triticum aestivum genome assembly, contig: Triticum_aestivum_CS42_TGACv1_scaffold_229373_3B
GAAGUACUCCCUCCGCUCGGAAUUACUUGUCUCGGAAAUGGAUGUAUUUAAAACUAAAAUACAUCUAGAUACAUCCAUUUUCGCAACGAGUAAUUCCGAACGGAGGGAGUAGUAC